UACGUAGGGGGCUAGCGUUGUCCGGAAUCAUUGGGCGUAAAGCGCGUGUAGGCGGUCCGGUAAGUCCGCUGUGAAAGUCGGGGGGCUCAACCCUCGGAUGCCGGUGGAGUACUGUCGGGCUUGAGUACGGAAGAGGCGAGUGGAAUUCCUGGUGUAGCGGUGAAAUGCGCAGAUAUCGGGAGGAACACCAGUAGCGAAGGCGACACUCUGGGCCGGUACUGACGCUGAGGAGCGAAAGCGUGGGGAGCAACAGG
rnacentral:rRNA from 1 species